rnacentral:rRNA from 1 species
UACGUAGGGGGCUAGCGUUGUCCGGAAUCAUUGGGCGUAAAGCGCGCGUAGGCGGCCCGGUAAGUCCGCUGUGAAAGUCAAAGGCUCAACCUUUGAAUGUCAGCGGAUACUGCCGGGCUAGAGUCCGGAAGAGGCGAGUGGAAUUCCUGGUGUAGCGGUGGAAUGCGCAGAUAUCGGGAGGAACACCGGUGGCGAAGGCGGCUUCCUGGACCGACACUGACGCUGAGGCGCGAAAGCUAGGGGAGCAAACGGG